UGCGUAGGCGGAAUACUAAGUCAGCGAUGAAAUCCUGCAGCUUAACUGUAGAACUGUCAUUGAUACUGGUAUUCUUGAAUGCAGUUGAGGUAGGCGGAAUGUGUAAUGUAGCGGUGAAAUGCUUAGAUAUUACACAGAACACCGAUUGCGAAGGCAGCUUACUAAACUGUGAUUGACGCUGAGGCACGAAAGCGUGGGGAGCAAACAGGAUUAGAUACCCUGGUAGUCC
rnacentral:rRNA from 1 species